rnacentral:rRNA from 1 species
GACGAACGCUGGCGGCGUGCUUAACACAUGCAAGUCGAACGGAAAGGCCCUGCUUUUGUGGGGUGCUCGAGUGGCGAACGGGUGAGUAACACGUGAGUAACCUGCCCUUGACUUUGGGAUAACUUCAGGAAACUGGGGCUAAUACCGGAUAGGAGCUCCUGCUGCAUGGUGGGGGUUGGAAAGUUUCGGCGGUUGGGGAUGGACUCGCGGCUUAUCAGCUUGUUGGUGGGGUAGUGGCUUACCAAGGCUUUGACGGGUAGCCGGCCUGAGAGGGUGACCGGACACAUUGGGAAUGAGAUACGGCCCAGACUCCUACGGGAGGCAGCAGUGGGGAAUAUUGCACAAUGGGCGGAAGCCUGAUGCAGCAACGCCGCGUGCGGGAUGACGGCCUUCGGGUUGUAAACCGCUUUCGCCUGUGACGAAGCGUGAGUGACGGUAAUGGGUAAAGAAGCACCGGCUAACUACGUG